rnacentral:rRNA from 1 species
GCUUAAGUACUGCGGAGGACAUUACCUA